rnacentral:lncRNA from 1 species
GGAAGGCAGCAGGAAGGAUGGGGAGUCCCUGGAGUUUGUAGCCACCUUUGAAUGGGGAACAGAUCCUCUGUGCCUCACUCGGACACCUUCUGCCUUUUUCCUUGAAGGCACCAACAGGAAAAGCUGGUGGCCCUGGGGAUGCUGCUGACCGCACACGCGCUGAAGAAACAGAAAAGAAGGUGGGAUGUCCAGUUCCCAAGGACCAAGGCUCUGUGUUUGAGAGUGUAGGGAGCAAUGUUCUCUCCUGGAUCUCCCAGGGGCUGGAGAAGGUGAUUCCCCAGCCAGCCCCAGGGACAAUGCAGUCACUUGGGAAGAGCUUUGAGACAAGCAUUGAUGUUCCUGAUCAGACAGAGGUCCAGAUCCUCGCGGACAAGGAAGAGGAUGCUCUGGAGAUAAUCCCCAUCGAUCUGGAGGAGGACGAACUGGAUGACUGCAAUGACAACACUGGCCCAGAUACUGGCACAGAGGAAUGGGCAGGAGCACGAGUGCUCAGCUGGCUGGUGCAGGGCUUUGAGAGGAUUGUGCCACAGCCGGAGGUGCUGAAAAAGCCAGAGCUGGAGCCAAAGGAGCAGAAGUGUGAAGCUGUGGCGGGAGGCACAAAAGGGGCUAAAACCCAGGCAAAGUCAAAAAGCAGUGUUUCAGCCACUCAGAGCAUCCCAGUAGCAGUGGAGCCAGCAGUGGUCAAGGCACAGCCGGAGCCGGUGGCUACCGUUGUCCCACGGUCCCCAGCUGGGGACGGCAGCAGGAUGUUUGCCUGGUUUGUCCAGGGGCUGGAGAAGGUGAUGCCGCAGCCGGUCACCAGGGAGAAGCAGGACACACAGGGAGUGGCUGCAGCAACCUUGAGUCCCGUGGAAGAAAGUAAGUGGUUGCUCCAUCUCACCAUGCUGGUUAGCUUGCCAAGGUCAGACGGGUUACUGGGAAGAGAGGCUGCUGGUGGCCUUUAUCCCCCAGUCUGCUGUGGGUGCCAGCUGGGGAGCCCCUGAAAUCCCCCGGGGAAGCCAUGAGAGGCUGUUGCUGCUUGAGAAGCAGGAGCAGAUCUGGAGUUGUUGCUCGGGCUGGGUAAAACUCAGGCUGUAGGAGUCUCUGAGUGUGGCAUCCCAAUCCUCAGGUCCUGGGUUUUGAGGUUAGUGCUGAUAUCAAGGUCUGUCCUCGAGCUGUGCUGGAAGAUGUUUGCCAAGCUGGUGGAAUUUGAUCAAAGGAUUACAAGGGGAUUCAAACCCUCCACCUUCAUCAUCCCUUUUGUCAUGUGUGCAGAGCCUGGUGUGAGAUGUCUAGGGAGGUACCUUGGGAAAACAAUAUCCUGGGAUAAGAUGUCUUAGAAGUGAGUCUGAAUGGUGGUAGAAAAGCAUUGUGGGUUCACACCACUGCUUGCUUGCCGAUGGAGGGGAGCAAGCACGAGCCCUGUGAGCAGAUGGGCCUGGCUCCCCCCACCAGCCACAGUGUGGGGUGCUGAGCAAAGCAGGGACCCUGCCUGGGAGCCACCCUGCCUUCACGGCUGGAGCAGGCAGGGGAGAUGUCAUGCAGCCCUGUGCAGGUGCCAUCCCCGGGGAGGGGUGGUUGGUUGGGCUGUGGGAGCUGCUGAUGGGAGCAGGGACUCGCUGCGGCACGAGGGGGCUGUGCAUCGCCCAAGAGACAUGCCAGGAGGUUCCUCCCACCAAGCCAGCAGCCACUUGGUGGGAUCUCAGAGCAGGAAAUCCUGUGGGAAGUAGUUUCUCUGUGUCUGUACAAAUUGGAGACCUGAGCGCUGCCCUGGACCUUGGAAUGAGGCAAAGCCAGUGGGAUGCUGCUGCAUGUGUGGGGCAGUCACGCCCAUUGUGCGUGGCUGGCUUGCUUACAGCUCGUUUUGGUGCCUUGAGGCAUCUCAAGGUCACUUAAUCUGCCCAAGGAGCAGAGUGAUUAGGUCAAGUAAGAAACCUAACCCAGCACCAAAAUGCCAGCACGCUCACUAAUGUUUUCCUUCUCCUUUUGUUUCAGGGGGCAAAGGGGCUUAACGCCUCUGAAACAAAUGGAAAAUGAAGACCAUGGUGAGCCAGCCCUUCCCACAACCAAAUGAGACCAAUCCAAGGAGAAAACACACCUGGGGAGGAAAAGCAAAUGGUCUCUAGCUCCUUUACAGCUGGGGCAGUGGGGACUGGAGGCUGGCUGCAUGUCCCCAGUCCCAGGGCUGUCCUAUCCCAGCUCCCUCUUGGCUCUGGGAACUGGAGCUAUUGGUUUUGCAAGAUGAUGUCUAUGAGACGGGAGCUAGAAUUUAUAGGAAGAUAGAAAAGCAUCACUCAGGACACCUCAGAGGCAGAAAGCCUCCUGUUGCAGGCUCCCAGCACUCCUGACCCUCUCAACCCACCCCUAGCAUCUGAAUAUUCACCCCCAAGACCUCCAGCUGAAGCCCACAGGCUUCUUUCAGUCAACUUCUGCCUCCGAGGUGUAAUGAUAUAAAGCUCUUUAAGCUCUCGUUAGAUUCUUAUGCUUUUCUUCCAUUAACUGAGUGUUUUCUCCCAGCAAGUGGAAAGGGCUCUGGUUUGUAGCAGCAAAUGCAGGUGGGUGAGGUUAAUCUCUAGGUCAAUAGGUAGGAGUUAAUGGUUAAAAGCCUUUUCCAAGGCUCUCCUUAUAGGAGAAUUUAUCACAAACUCUCCUUACCCCCAACCACAUCCGCUCUGUCCUGAAGCUCACAGCUCUUGAGAUGCAGCACUAACCAUGGUGGCAGGAGUGUCCCGGCAGGGCAGGGAUCUUGGGGGCUGUCUCCAGCCCAGAAGUGUGCAGGCAGGCAUAGGCAGGGCAGGCAUGUGGGGCUGGAUGGGGUGAGAGCCCCUACACCCCAGGCUUUGAAUACAGACCUUAGAAUUGCAGAAUAGUUUGAGCUGGAAGUGACCUUCAAAGGUGAUCUGGUUGAACCCCCUGAGAUGGGCAGGGACACUUCCACUAGCCCAGGUUGCCCAAAGCCCCGUCUAACCCAGCCUUGAACUCUUCCAGGGAGGGGGCAGCCACAGCUUCUCUGGGCAACCUGUGCCAGUGUCUCACCACUCUUACUGUACAACAUUUCUUCCUUGUGUCCAAUCUAAAUCUACCUUCUUUCAGUUUAAAACUGUUGCCCUUGUCCUGUGACUACAGGCCCUGGUGAAUCCAUCUGUUGUAUAAGCCUCCUUGAUACAUCGAAAGGUCACAAUAAAGUGUCCCACCACAUCA